AGGAUUCCCAACCCUCAUAGAACAGCCAAGGAGCGGGUCACCGGCUGCCUCGUUAAAGUUGAAUUUCAGCAACAUCUAUCAAGGUACCUUGCUGCAAAUGCCAAACACUUGGAUGAAAGCCUGGAUGAAGUCUCCUCCAGCUACCCUGGGAAGUGCUCUCUGGCCUAUGGUAACCUACAGGUGGAACUUGAGGUGUGAUGUGCCACCUGGGCUUGG
rnacentral:lncRNA from 1 species